rnacentral:rRNA from 1 species
UUAUGACGCCAGUCGUAUCGCCGGGUAGCUAAGUGCGGAAGAGAUAACCGCUGAAAGCAUCUAAGCGGGAAACUUGCCACAAGAUUAGAUUUCCCGGGAAUUUAAUUCCCCUAAAGGUUCGUUGAAGACUACAACGUUGAUAGGUCGAAUGUGUAAGCGUAGUAAUACGUUAAGCUAAUCGAUACUAAUUGACCGUGAGGCUUGAUCCUAUAAUCUU